rnacentral:tRNA from 1 species
GCGCCUGUAGCUCAAUUGGACAGAGUGUUGGACUACGGAUCCAAAGGUUGCAGGUUCGACUCCUGCCAGGCGCACCA